rnacentral:rRNA from 1 species
GACACUGCCCGGACCUCCACGGAGGGCUGCAGUAACGAAUAUUGUGCAAUGGGCGAAAGCCUGACACAGCGACGCCGCGUGUAGGAGGAAGUCCCUCGGGAUGUAAACUACUGUCAGGGUGAAGAAAGUCUGUUUCGGCAGAUUGAUCUAACCCGGAGGAAGUCACGGCUAACUUCGUGCCAGCAGCCGCGGUAAGACGAAGGUGGCAAGCGUUGUUCGGUAUUACUGGGCUUAAAGCGUGUGUAGGCGGAUAAAUAAGCGUUUUGUGAAAUCCCUCGGCUUAACCGAGGAAUUGCUUGACGAACUGUUUAUCUUGAGGCAAGUAGGGGUGCACGGAACUCUUGGUGGAGCGGUGGAAUGCGUAGAUAUCAAGAGGAACGCCAGUGGUGAAGACGGUGCACUGGGCUUGUUCUGACGCUGAGACACGAAAGCGUGGGGAGCAAACAGGAUUAGAUACCCUGGUAGUCCACGCUGUAAACGAUG